CGGGUUGUCAUGCCAAUGGCACUGCCCGGUAGCUAAAUGCGGAAGAGAUAAGUGCUGAAAGCAUCUAAGCACGAAACUUGCCCCGAGAUGAGUUCUCCCUGACUCCUUGAGAGUCCUGAAGGAACGUUGAAGACGACGACGUUGAUAGGCCGGGUGUGUAAGCGCAGCGAUGCGUUGAGCUAACCGGUACUAAUGAACCGUGAGGCUUAACCUUACAACGCCGAAGGUGUUU
rnacentral:rRNA from 2 species